rnacentral:lncRNA from 10 species
CUUGAAAGAGGGGCAAGCAGAGGCACGACUCCCUUAUUAUCAUGGUGAUAAUAAUGCUGCUGUUAAAAUCAUGCUGCGUCUGGGGGAGGGGCAGAGAGGUGCUUUUACAGUUUAAAUCACUGCCCAAGAUAAGAUCAUGGAAUAUGUUACUGUUUUGCAUGCUAUUUUUUUAGAAGAAAAGUGAAUUGCUAUAGCAAAUAAAAGUCUAUUAGCAUUUAACCAAAAAAAGAUCUAAUUUAUUAUUCUGCUUCCAACAAAUACUUUGCUGUAACAAUGAACUGUAGAAUAAAUACUGUUUAUUCAUAACUGUAACACCAAAUUUAGGUCUUUUUCAUCUUAGUUAUUUAUUUUAUUAAGCAUUGAAAAAACAAUGGACUAUUAAUUCAGUGGGAAACUACAAUGGUGGAGCUAAAUCUUGAGACAGGCAGUCAGGUUCCUUCAAAACUAUUGGAUUUCACUUCAGUAUCCCCAAAGACAGAAUGGACACAGAGGGGAUGAGGCAUGGUGAAAGUUAGUGAUGAUCUUUGGGAGGCAGCCAGUUGCACUACUCCUUGAGCUGGAAAAAGGGAUGUGGGUGGGAGCAAGCAUGUCAGAGAAACAGCAGAGUGCCAUGGAAGAAUGGGACUGUCAUCAUCAGGGGCUGGGAUGAAGAUUCUCUUGUUAAACUCUGAAUUUUCCCUGGGUGGGAGGUCUAGUCCUGCCUCCAUCACUUCUUCAUAAAAGAAGAUGAAUACUUUCCAGACAAUGCUCUGAGCAGAAUUACUCCCAAAGCACUGGGGGAGGACUGCUUCUCCAUGGUACAACAAUCCCUCUAGUGGCUGGGUCAGAAGGGUAGGCAUUUCCAUGAGCCUCUGUAGCCAUUAAUAAUUUGAACAGCAUCCUCCAAACCACUUGGUAGGCCUUUGUAUACUCCUAGGACACACAGAGGAUAUACCUAGAGAGCCAUGCGUCAGCAUUCUCUUGUAGUCUAGGCUCCAAAACUGUAAUCCAGCUUUGAUAUAUCUCAGUCCCUGAUUGGAUUAAGGUGAGCAGUUCUACUCUAUCUGCCUGCAGAGAGGUUUUCUGGGGGUGGGGGGUUAUUUAUGCGUGUGUGGCUGAGGGGGUGGUUGGUUGCCAAUAUAUAAAAAUGUUGUUACAUAAAGAUUCAAACAUCCAACUUUCUAGCUACUUCAGAAGUCAGAUCUGGCAACACUGGGUCCAAAGUCUCAUGUGGUGGCCAAAGGAAAAUUCCUCCUGUGUCCUCCAAAGGUUUGCU